rnacentral:rRNA from 1 species
UACGUAGGGUGCAAGCGUUAAUCGGAAUACUGGGCGUAAAGCGUGCGCAGGCGGUUAUGUAAGACAGAUGUGAAAUGCCCCGGGCUUAACCUGGGAACUGCAUUUGUGACUGCAUGGCUAGAGUUUGGCAGAGGGGGGGGUAGAAUUCCACGUGUAGCAAUGAAAUGCGUAGAUAUGUGGAGGAAUACCGAUGGCGAAGGCAGCCCCCUGGGCCAAUACUGACGCUCAUGC